GGGGUUUCCUCGGUACUGAAGUUAACACAUUAAGUACUCCGCCUGAGUAGUACGUACGCAAGUAUGAAACUUAAAGGAAUUGACGGGAUCCCGCACAAGCGGUGGAUCAUGUUGUUUAAUUCGAAGAUACACGAAAAACCUUACCAGGUCUUGACAUUAUCCUGCGAAGCUAUAGAAAUAUAGGGGAGGUUAUCAGGAUAACAGGUGGUGCAUGGUUGUCGUCAGCUCGUGUCGUGAGAUGUUAGGUUAAGUCCUAAAACGAGCGCAACCCUUGUCGUUAGUUACCAGCACGUUAUGGUGGGGACUUUAGCGAGACUGCCAAUGAAAAAAUUGGAGGAAGGUGAGGAUUACGUCAAAUCAUCAUGCCCCUUAUGAUCUGGGCUACAAACGUGAUACAAUGGCUAUUACAAAGAGCAGCUGAAACGUGAGUUGUUAGCUAAUCUCAAAAAAAUAGUCUCAGUUCGGAUUGAAGUCUGCAACUCGACUUCAUGAAGUUGGAAUCGCUAGUAAUCGCGAAUCAGCAUGUCGCGGUGAAUACGUUCUCGGGGUUUGUACACACCGCCCGUCAAACCAUGAAAGUUGACAAUACCCAAAACCAGUCGCUUAACUACUUCGGUAGAGGGAGCUGUCUAAGGUAGGGUCGAUGAUUGGGGUUAAGUCGUAACAAGGUAUCCCUACCGGAAGGUGGGGAUGGAUCACCUCCUUUCUAAGGAAAUGUCGUAUCAUGAUCAUCUUCAGUUUUGAAAGACUUAGAGUAGAUAAGUUUUUCUUUUGGCGUAGAGGAAGGGCCUAUAGCUCAGUUGGUAGAGCACACGCUUGAUAAGCGUGCGGUCAAUGGUUCAAGUCCAUUUAGGCCCACCAUACCACAUUCUUCUUUAUUCAAAA
rnacentral:rRNA from 1 species